AAACCGGAUUUUUUACCCUGGUAGUCCACGCCCUAAACGAUGCGAACUGGAUGUUGGGUGCAAUUUGGCACGCAGUAUCGAAGCUAACGCGUUAAGUUCGCCGCCUGGGGAGUACGGUCGCAAGACUGAAACUCAAAGGAAUUGACGGGGGCCCGCACAAGCGGUGGAGUAUGUGGUUUAAUUCGAUGCAACGCGAAGAACCUUACCUGGUCUUGACAUCCACGGAACUUUCCAGAGAUGGAUUGGUGCCUUCGGGAACCGUGAGACAGGUGCUGCAUGGCUGUCGUCAGCUCGUGUCGUGAGAUGUUGGGUUAAGUCCCGCAACGAGCGCAACCCUUGUCCUUAGUUGCCAGCACGUAAUGGUGUACUCUAAUGAGAUCGCC
rnacentral:rRNA from 1 species